rnacentral:rRNA from 1 species
GGGGGGGCCCGGAGCUUACCAUGCAGUCGACGAUGAAGCCCAGCUUGCUGGGUGGAUUAGUGGCGAACGGGUGAGUAACACGUGAGCAACCUGCCCCUGACUCUGGGAUAAGCGCUGGAAACGGCGUCUAAUACUGGAUAUGUCCCGUCACCGCAUGGUGUGCGGGUGGAAAGAUUUUUCGGUUGGGGAUGGGCUCGCGGCCUAUCAGCUUGUUGGUGAGGUAAUGGCUCACCAAGGCGUCGACGGGUAGCCGGCCUGAGAGGGUGACCGGCCACACUGGGACUGAGACACGGCCCAGACUCCUACGGGAGGCAGCAGUGGGGAAUAUUGCACAAUGGGCGAAAGCCUGAUGCAGCAACGCCGCGUGAGGGAUGACGGCCUUCGGGUUGUAAACCUCUUUUAGCAGGGAAGAAGCGAAAGUGACGGUACCUGCAGAAAAAGCACCGGCUAACUACGUGCCAGCAGCCGCGGUAAUACGUAGGGUGCAAGCGUUAUCCGGAAUUAUUGGGCGUAAAGAGCUCGUAGGCGGUCUGUCGCGUCUGCUGUGAAAUCCCGAGGCUCAACCUCGGGCUUGCAGUGGGUACGGGCAGACUAGAGUGCGGUAGGGGAGAUUGGAAUUCCUGGUGUAGCGGUGGAAUGCGCAGAUAUCAGGAGGAACACCGAUGGCGAAGGCAGAUCUCUGGGCCGUAACUGACGCUGAGGAGCGAAAGGGUGGGGAGCAAACAGGCUUAGAUACCCUGGUAGUCCACCCCGUAAACGUUGGGAACUAGUUGUGGGGUCCUUUUCCACGGAUUCCGUGACGCAGCUAACGCAUUAAGUUCCCCCGCCUGCGGAGUACGGCCGCAAGGCUAACACUCAAAGGAAUUGACGGGGG